rnacentral:rRNA from 1 species
GAGCACGUAGGUGGGUUUGUAAGUCAGAUGUGAAAGCCUUCUGUUCAACGGAAGAAUUGCAUCUGAAACUACUGACCUUGAGUAUAGGAGGGGAGAAUGGAACUUCUGGUGGAGCGGUGAAAUGCGUAGAUAUCAGAAGGAACGCCGGCGGCGAAAGCGAUUCUCUGGCCUAUUACUGACACUCAGUGUGCGAAAGCUAGGGGAGCAAACGGGAUUAGAUACCCCGGUAGUCCUAGCCGUAAACGAUGGGCACUAAGUAGAGGGGUUUUA